CAGGCAUAUAAAGGGGAAACCCCUGUUGUCACGCAGUUAGUUCAUCAGUUAAUUCGUAAGUUGGUGUUUUGUUUGUUGUCUUUGACCUUGACCAACAGCUGUUUGGGGAGCCUCUUGUGAUGCCCUUGAUUGUGUCAUUGAUCACUGUGAACUGCCUGAGCUGGAAGUCGGAGAUUGGCUGCUUGUUUCAAAACAGAGGAGCAUACUCGGUCUCUCUCUCAAACAAGUUCAAUGGCUUUCAAGGGUUCUUUUGAAGACCCUGACCUGGAGUUACACACUGACUACGGUUCUUUGCAGGAAUAGGACCCGCUCUCAGGGCUUCAUAACUGGCCGUUGUUCGGCAUGCCAAAGGCUUGGAUCGAGAGUCCAGCUCGGAUUCGGAAGCCUAAGAUCUCAGGGCUCUGGAGACGGGUGGAUUGAGGGUUGGUGUCACGACAGGGGACUCGUGUGUAAUUGGGGGAGUUGAAAUAUCUACGGCUGUGCGCCUGGAGACCCAGGAUCUUUGUGAUCUUCAGGCACAGAGCUUGAAAAAAGUGAUAAACCAGCGAGUUAUUUGUUAUAUCUCCCCGCUGUGCUGGGAAAAUACAGACUCCUCUUCCUCCCUUAUUAGGGAGAGAGAGAACCUGUGGUAUGUCAAAUACCAGGUGAAACACAAAGUCUUUGGGGUAACUGCAAGUCUGUGUCUUCGCUAUUGCUUUGCUCACACUUGAGUGCUCGGUGGCAUUGCUGAAGAUUUUUUU